AUAACAAUACAGGACUCUUUCCAGGCUCUGUAAUUGGAAUGAGUCCACUUUUAAUCACUUAACGAGGAUCUAUUGGAGGGCAAGUCUGGUGCAGAGUGACUGACCCAUACAUGCUGCAGCACAAACUCCAC